UUUUUUCAAAGUAACAUCAU
rnacentral:miRNA from 1 species